rnacentral:rRNA from 1 species
AAUAGAGCUAUUGAUUUGGGAGAAUCGAUAGGGAAAGCUCCGGCGCUCUGGGAGGGGUCUGCGUCCGAUUAGCUAGUUGGUGAGGUAAAGGCUCACCAAGGCGACGAUCGGUAGCUGGUCUGAGAGGACGAUCAGCCACACGGGAACUGAGACACGGUCCCGACUCCUACGGGGGGCAGCAGUGAGGAAUAUUGGGCAAUGGGCGAGAGCCUGACCCAGCAACGCCGCGUGGAGGAAGACGGCCUUCGGGUUGUAAACUCCUUUUGACGGGGAAGAGAGAGGACGGUACCCGUCGAAUAAGUCACGGCUAACUACGUGCCAGCAGCCGCGGUAAUACGUAGGUGACAAGCGUUAUCCGGAAUUACUGGGCGUAAAGCGCACGCAGGCGGCAGAUUAAGUCUGACGUGAAAUCUCCUGGCUUAACUGGGAAGG